rnacentral:lncRNA from 1 species
UGAUCCUGCGGCAGUGGCUCUGAUCAUGGAAAUAUAAAAUCAGUGGUGCAGACUUUUCUCCAUGCAAAGCCAAUUGAUUCCUAUUCAGACAAUCCUUUUUGCCAAAUGCCCAACAAGAAAGGAGCAGUUAUGCAGAACUUGUGGUAGAAGGAGGGAAACUGAGGACCUUAGACAUCUCCGUCUGAUGAGUAACUGCUACCAGUCACAGCUUGGAGAGCUGGACACUUCACCACUCAGGUAUGGAAGGUGAAGGCCAUGUUUUUAUCCUAUUAAUUGCUUGUUUUUUAAAAGAAUUGCUGUUUUUGGAUAAAUUGAAAUCAAAGUUUCAAUCUCAGGUCAACAGAUGUCUGAAAAUAACAGCAAGAAAGAAAUGAAAAAGAAUCUCCCACAGAGGUAUGUUAUAUCAUUUCCCCGCAAGUCUUUUAACACAGGGUGGAUGAACAGCUCUCUAGCAUUAUGUGAAUGGGAGGCUGCCUAAAGGAAGGGAAAUGGGUUGGAUAAUUUGGGGACUCCCUCAGCUAAUUUAGAAAAUUCUCUGUUUUUUUCAAUGGUGUGGGUUCUUGGAAGAAAAUGAAGAGCAUGGGGAAGAAUCCUCAAGAGAUUGCAAGCUUUGAUCAAGUGUGCUCCUAAAGGGAAACAUUAAAGACAGUCUUUAAAACAAACAAACAAAAAACAAAUAAAAAGCCUAUUCUGAAAGUCCAUAUUAAAUUCUUAUUUAUAGAUACUAAUAGAUGGUAGCUCAUGGAGUUAGGGGCAAAGAGAGGUGCUUAGGAAAGGUCUGCUUCUAUCAGAAAAGGUAUGAUUUAAAAUAUUAUAAUUUAAUUUUAACCUAAUGCUCUUUUUGCAAAUAUCUUCCACCACCUUCUCUAAACUCAGAGCUCCCUAGUAUAAACAGUUUUCUGUGCUUGUUAUAGUAGAGUUACCUCAGGUCUCCAGGUCUCACUGGCCCAGGGAGGACAACAAAGCCAUUGCCAAACAAAGGUACAGUAAUGCCCAGAAUGCUCAUUGUAUUAAAUUCCUUCCAUCUGAUUAAGAGGACACUGGGGAGUCUCCUUUGUCCUCCUGAAAACCAUGAUGCUCUAUGCCCAUGCUGUAUGGAAUGUAUUAUUUUCUCUUUAAUUCCUAAUACGCUGUUCCCUGAUCACUGCAUUGGCAGCCUUGAGCUCUAAGUUUUCUUUCCUAGAGCUUUUAAAAUGUUUAUUUAUUUGACCCAAACUUUACUAGAGAUUCUAAUUCCAGAUUAAGGGCCUUGACUUCAGUAACCAGAUUCAACAGAUAAAAUACUGGAUCCCCCAUUAAAUUUGAAUUUUAGGUAAACAUUGACU